GUUCGGGUUGUCAUGCCAAUGGCACUGCCCGGUAGCUAAAUGCGGAAGAGAUAAGUGCUGAAAGCAUCUAAGCACGAAACUUGCCCCGAGAUGAGUUCUCCCUGAGACUUAGAGUCUCCUGAAGGAACGUUGAAGACGACGACGUUGAUAGGCCGGGUGUGUAAGCGCAGCGAUGCGUUGAGCUAACCGGUACUAAUGAACCGUGAGGCUUAACCUU
rnacentral:rRNA from 1 species